rnacentral:rRNA from 1 species
CUAUGAUCAAAACACUAGAGCAGUGGCCGUUCUCCACCACAAUGGACUAAAACGACCGACGACGAUGCUAGUAGAGGAACAGCAGGACAGCUUUGAGCAAAGAACUAAACCAGUAGUCACUCUCUUCCACAAGGGACUAAAACGACCGACAACGAUGCUGGUAGAGGAACAGCAGGACAUCUUUGAGCAAAAAAAUAAACCAGUGGACACUCUCUUCCACAAGGGACUAAAGCGACCGACGACGAUCCUGGUAGAGGAACAGCGGGACAGUUUUGAUCAAAGAACUAGACCAGUGGUCACUCUCAAAGUACGAGGUACUCCCGUAAACGAUCACGUACUUUGAGGAACAACACGAGACACUCUUAGAAAAAG